GCGUGCGCGUGAGACUGCCUGUGGGAACAGGGGUUAGCGAGAGGCUCUGGUGGCCCGGCCAAGCAGCUCCACCUGCGGUCAGCUAGCUCCCGCCUCGAGAGGCUUGCUACGGCCCCGCAGCUCUUGCUCUGCGCCCUCCCGCCCAUCUGGGAUGGAAGAAAACUGUCAGACAUUUACAGGAUGACCCUGUCAGUAUGCACAGCUCACACACAGAUGAACCCCAUAGAAAGCCAAGUAUGAGUCAAGCAAGACAGCUGGUGUAUCUUCGAUGAUACUCUUGCCCAUUUUUACCACCACCUGCCCUUGUUCCGGUGUGGAUUCCAGUCGUUCACGGACCACGGGUUACCCUUCUCGGUAGCCUCCAGUGCUCGGCACCAAACAUGAUGCCCCGAGGUGUGUAUGCUGAAGGAGCCCAAACUGUGGGUUUAGCAGUUUCUGGACUAUAAGGAUUCUUUGUGAAUGUGUGGAUGUCUUCAUUGAUUUUUAAGACUCCUUUAUGCUGAACCGGUAUGAUGGUGCAUACAUUUAAUCCCAACACUCAGGAGGCAGAGUCCAGAGGAUCUCUGAGUUCAAGCGAAGCUUGGUCUACAUAGUGAGUUCCAGGACAUAUAGAGCUACAUGAAAGAGAGACCCUGCCUUAAGACAGAACAAAACAAAACAACAAACAAAAACAAAAGCAGAAAGGAAUUCACAGACUCAACGAAAAAUUAGACAAUUCAGAAAUGAGGAAAGAGAAAGCACAAGGCCUUCCUCGACACAGCACACCCAAGUCGCUCAGUCCAGACCUCUGCCUUACCCUCAAGUGAAGUCACCUGCUCUUAAGUUUUCCCCUUUCUACUCAUCACAAACCUCAAAUCUGAGAACGCUUAAUCCAAGCUCGUCCUUUUCAUUUGAGAAUCUCUUAAAUGCAUAUAGUAUGUUUUGAUCGAAUCCACUGCUGUCACCUCCUACGAUCUCCCAUCCCUCUCCUCUAACUCUGCCCCAUCUCUCCCACCACUUUCCUUUCCCAACUUCAUGUGCUUUCUUUUUCUUUUUCUUUUUCUUUCUUUCUUUCUUUCUUUUUUUUUUUUUUUUUGAAACCCACUGAGUCCACUUAAUCCUGCUAGCAUGCACAUGAAUGUAGGGCCAUCUACUGGAGCACAAGUAUCCUAUCAGGGCCAGAAACCCUGAAGGAAAUGGCCCCUCCCACAGUGGCCAUCAAUUGCCAACCCUCAACUAGGGAUGGAACUUUGUGAUCUCCUCCCGAUCCAUGUUGAGAAAUUGACUGGCUAGGUCUUGCUCAUGUAGUCAUAGCUGCUAUGAAUUCAUGUAUGCAUUGGCCCUGCGAGGUCAAAAAAAAAAAAAAA